AGAGAAUAGAUACCCAGGUAGUCCUGGCAGUAAACGGUGCGCGUUUGGUAUGGGAGGAUUCGACCCCUUCCGUGCCGGAGCUAAACGCGUUAAACGCGCCGCCUGGGGAGUACGGUCGCAAGAUUAAAACUCAAAGAAAUUGACGGGGGCCCGCACAAGCGGUGGAGUAUGUGGCUUAAUUCGAUGCAACGCGAAGAACCUUACCUAGCCUUGACAUGCAUCUCUAAGUCGGUGAAAGCCGGCGAGCCCAGCAAUGGGUAAUUUGCACAGGUGCUGCAUGGCUGUCGUCAGCUCGUGUCGUGAGAUGUUGGGUUAGGUCCCGCAACGAGCGCAACCCCUGUGAACUGUUGCCACUUUCGCUUCGGCGGAAAGCACUCUGUUCAGACUGCCCUGUGAAACGGGGAGGAAGGUGGGGAUGACGUCAAGUCAGCAUGGCCCUUACGGCUAGGGCUGCACACGUACUACAAUGCUCAGUACGGAACGAGCCGAAACCGCGAGGUGGAGGGAAUCCCAAAAACUGAGCCCAAUUCGGAUCGCA
rnacentral:rRNA from 1 species